rnacentral:rRNA from 1 species
GAUGAACGCUGGCGGCGUGCCUAAUACAUGCAAGUCGAGCGGCAGCACGGUCUUCGGACUGGUGGCGAGCGGCGGACGGCAGAGUAACGCGUAGGAAUAUACCCCAAAGUGAGGGAUAAGCUCCAGAAAUGGAGUCUAAUACCGCAUAUGGUCUUCGGAUUAAAGCCUUCGGGCGCUAUGGGGAUAGCCUGCGUUCGAUUAGCUAGUUGGUGAGGUAAUGGCUCACCAAGGCGACGAUCGAUAGCUGGUCUGAGAGGAUGAUCAGCCUGACUGGAACUGAGAUACGGUCCAGACUCCUACGGAGGCAGCAGUAGGGAAUUUUCCACAAUGGGCGAAAGCCUGAUGGAGCAACGCCGCGUGCAGGAUGAAGGCCUUCGGGUCGUAAACUGCUUUUGUACGGUAACGAAACGGUGAGCUCUAAUAAAGCUUGCUAAUGACGGUACCGUAAGAAUAAGCACCGGCUAACUACGUGCCAGCAGCCGAC